CGCAAGCCUGACGGAGCAAGACCGCGUGAGGGAGGAAGGCCUAUUGGUUGUAAACCUCUUUUGAUAGGGAAGAACACAAUGACGGUACCUAUCGAAUCAGCAUCGGCUAACUCCGUGCCAGCAGCCGCGGUAAUACGGAGGAUGCAAGCGUUAUCCGGAUUUAUUGGGCGUAAAGCGUCCGUAGGUGGCAAUCCAAGUCAGUUGUUAAAGCGUAGAGCUUAACUCUAUAACGGCAAUUGAAACUGGAUAGCUAGAGUGCGAUAGGGGCAAGGGGAAUUUCCAGUGUAGCGGUGAAAUGCGUAGAUAUUGGAAAGAACAUCGAUGGCGAAGGCGCCUUGCUGGGUCUGCACUGACACUGAGGGACGAAAGCUAGGGGAGCG
rnacentral:rRNA from 1 species